UUGCUCCCUGAUGUUACGGCGGACGGGUGAGUACACGUGGGUAACCUGCCUGUAAGACUGGGAUAACUCCGGGAAACCGGGGCUAAUACCGGAUGGUUGUCUGAACCGCAUGGUUCAGACAUAAAAGGUGGCUUCGGCUACCACUUACAGAUGGACCCGCGGCGCAUUAGCUAGUUGGUGAGGUAACGGCUCACCAAGGCGACGAUGCGUAGCCGACCUGAGAGGGUGAUCGGCCACACUGGGACUGAGACACGGCCCAGACUCCUACGGGAGGCAGCAGUAGGGAAUCUUCCGCAAUGGACGAAAGUCUGACGGAGCAACGCCGCGUGAGUGAUGAAGGUUUUCGGAUCGUAAAGCUCUGUUGUUAGGGAAGAACAAGUGCCGUUCAAAUAGGGCGGCACCUUGACGGUACCUAACCAGAAAGCCACGGCUAACUACGUGCCAGCAGCCGCGGUAAUACGUA
rnacentral:rRNA from 1 species